GACAGGGGUCUCGAGCGUUAAUCGGAAUCACUGGGCUUAAAGGGUGCGUAGGCGGGCCUGUAAGUGUCCUGUGAAAUCCCCCGGCUCAACCGGGGAACUGCGGGGCAUACUGCGGGUCUGAGGAAGGUAGGCGCCGAGGGAACAGUAGGUGGAGCGGUGAAAUGCGUAGAUAUCUACUGGAACGCCGAUGGUGAAGACGCUCGGCUGGGCCUUUCCUGACGCUGAGGCACGAAAGCGUGGGGAGCAAACAGG
rnacentral:rRNA from 1 species